ensembl:snoRNA small nucleolar RNA SNORA76
AGGAGCUGCCUUUCAGCCCCCAUUGCACCUGCCUGUGGUGCCCAGGGGGUUCAGGCUGCAGCACCAGAGCAUAUGCCUGCACAUUACUGGGGCCAACUGCUCCCACGCAGGCAGUCCUUUUAACUCUGAGCAACACAGCU